UACGUAGGGGGCAAGCGUUGUCCGGAAUUAUUGGGCGUAAAGAGCGUGUAGGCGGUCCGGUAAGUCAGCUGUGAAAGUCAAGGGCUCAACCCUUGAAAGCCGGUUGAUACUGUCGGGCUAGAGUCCGGAAGAGGCGAGUGGAAUUCCUGGUGUAGCGGUGGAAUGCGCAGAUAUCAGGAGGAACACCGAUGGCGAAGGCAGGUCUCUGGGCCACUACUGACGCUGAGAAGCGAAAGCAUGGGGAGCGAACAGG
rnacentral:rRNA from 1 species